GCUAAACGCGAAGAACCUUACCAGGGCUUGACAUCCCUUGACGACGGCAGAGAUGCCGUUUCCCUUCGGGGCAAGGAGACAGGUGGUGCAUGGUUGUCGUCAGCUCGUGUCGUGAGAUGUUGGGUUAAGUCCCGCAACGAGCGCAACCCCUACUGCCAGUUGCCAGCAUUCAGUUGGGCACUCUGGCGGGACUGCCGUUGACAAAACGGAGGAAGUGGGGAUGAUGUCAAAUCAUCAUGCCCCUUAUGUCCUGGGCUACACACGUACUACAAUGGCCGCAACAGAGGGCAGCGACGUCGCGAGGCGAAGCGAAUCCCAAAAAGCGGUCUCAGUUCGGAUUGCAGGCUGAAACCCGCCUGCAUGAAGUCGGAAUUGCUAGUAAUGGCAGGUCAGCAUACUGCCGUGAAUACGUUCCCGGGUCUUGUACACACCG
rnacentral:rRNA from 1 species